rfam:Otolemur garnettii contig123486, whole genome shotgun sequence.
GCAGAACUUGGUGGUGCACGCCUGUAGUCCCAGCUACUUGGGAGGCUGAGAUCAGAGGAUUGCUUGAGUUCAAAAGUUCUGGGCUAUAGUGAGCUAUUCCUAUCGGGUGUCUGCACUUAGUUUGGCAUCAGUGUGGUGACCUCCUGGGAGCAGGAAGCCAUAGAUUGCCUAAGGAGGGGUGAAACAGCCCAGGUCAGAAACGGAGCAAGUUAAAACUCCUGUGCUGAUCAGUAGUGGGGUCAGCCUGUGAAUAGCCACUGCACGCCAGCCUGGGCAACACAGCAAGACCCUGUCUCUA